rnacentral:tRNA from 1 species
GGAGAGGUGCCAGAGUGGUCGAAUGGGCUUGUCUCGAAAACAAGAGUACUCGCAAGGGUACCGAGGGUUCGAAUCCCUCCCUCUCCG